GAGAGAGAGAGAGAGAGAGAGAGAGAGAGAGAGAGAGAGAGAGAGAUAGAAAGCAAAGUUGACCACGCUAGAAUGGUAUCGAGUUACAUGUUAUAUACGUCGAACGAAACUUUGUGGCACCCUAAUUGACGCAAGUUCUUAAUGAAUCGUAGAGAAGGUAAUAUAGAGAGAGAGAGAGAGAGAGAGAGAGAGAGAGAGAGAGAGAGAGAGAGA